ACACCGCCACCACUCUCCUCGAAUUCCCACACUUCAACUCCCGCCAUGUCCUCCGUCGCAUUCGGCGGCGCCUCCAUCACUUCUCGCCUUCUUCCCUCCUCCUCCGCAAGAACCUCCCUCUCCCAAUCCUCCUCCUCACUCAAGCCCCUGGGCUCCGCUCCCCUGAUUUCCCACCUCUUCCUAAACCCCAAACCCCGCUCGUUGCCUCACGCGCGUACCCGACAGUACAGCCCAGCCGCCGCCCCCAAAUGCCAGGCUUCCG
rnacentral:lncRNA from 1 species